rnacentral:rRNA from 1 species
GACGAACGCUGGCGGCGUGCUUAACACAUGCAAGUCGAACGGUAAGGCCCUUCGGGGUACACGAGUGGCGAACGGGUGAGUAACACGUGGGUGAUCUGCCCUGCACUUUGGGAUAAGCCUGGGAAACUGGGUCUAAUACCGGAUAGGACCACGGCCUGCAUGGGUUGUGGUGGAAAGCUUUUGCGGUGUGGGAUGGGCCCGCGGCCUAUCAGCUUGUUGGUGGGGUGAUGGCCUACCAAGGCGACGACGGGUAGCCGGCCUGAGAGGGUGUCCGGCCACACUGGGACUGAAAUACUGCCCAGACUCCUACGGGAGGCAGCAGUGGGGAAUAUUGCACAGUGGGCGCAAGCCUGAUGCAGCGACGCCGCGUGGGGGAUGACGGCCUUCGGGUUGUAACCCUCUUUCACCAGGGACGAAGCGCAAGUGACGGUACCUGGAGAAGAAGCACCGGCCAACUACGUGCCAGCAGCCGCCGUAA